rnacentral:rRNA from 1 species
GGUGGGGAUGACGUCAAGUCCUCAUGGCCCUUAUGUCCAGGGCUACACACGUACUACAAUGGCCGAUACAGAGGGUCGCAAGACCGCGAGGUGGAGCCAAUCCCUAAAAUCGGCCUCAGUUCAGAUUGGAGUCUGCAACUCGACUCCAUGAAGUUGGAAUUGCUAGUAAUCGCGAAUCAGCACGUCGCGGUGAAUACGUUCCCGGGCCUUGUACACACCGCCCGUCAAGCCAUGGAAGCCGGGUGUACCCAAAGUCGUCUUGCUAACCGCAAGGAGGCGGACGCCCAAGGUAAAACCGGUGACUGGGGCU